CGCGUAGGCGGGAUGGCAAGUCGGUCGUGAAAUCCUUCGGCUCAACCGAAGAACGUCGGCCGAUACUGCCGUUCUUGAGGGAUGCAGAGGAGACUGGAAUUCCCGGUGUAGCGGUGAAAUGUGUAGAGAUCGGGAGGAACACCGGUGGCGAAGGCGGGUCUCUGGGCAUCUCCUGACGCUGAGGCGCGAAAGCGUGGGGAGCAAACGGGAUUAGAUACCCCGGUAGUCCACGCCAUAAACGAUGACGACUAGGUGUGGGGUGGUUCAGUCCACUCCGUGCCGCAGCUAACGCAUUAAGUCGUCCGCCGUGGGGAGUACGGCCGCAAGGUUGAA
rnacentral:rRNA from 1 species